UGAGUUUGAUCCUGGCUCAGUAAGUCGUAACAAGGUAGCCGUACGCUAGAGUUUGAUCCUGGCUCAGGGUGAACGCUGGCGGUAUGCCUAAGACAUGCAAGUCGCACGAUAUAGCAAUAUAUAGUGGCGGACGGGUGAGUAACACGUGGAUGACAUGCCCUGAAGUGGGGAACAACUAGGGGAAACCCUAGCUAAUUCCGCAUGUGAACGGUUCUCCUGUGAACUGUUCAAAGCCGCAAGGCGCUUUAGGAUUGGUCCGCGGUGCAUCAGCUAGUUGGUGAGGUAAAGGCUCACCAAGGCUACGACGCAUAGCUGGUCUGAGAGGACGACCAGCCACAGGGGUACUGAGACACGGACCCCACUCCUACGGGAGGCAGCAGUUAGGAAUCUUCGUCAAUGGGCGAAAGCCUGAACGAGCGAUACCGCUUGAAGGAUGAAGCCUUUCGGGGUGUAAACUUCUGAACUAGGGACGAUAAUGACGGUACCUAGGUAAUAGCACCGGCUAACUCCGUGCCAGCAGCCGCGGUAAUACGGAGGGUGCGAGCGUUACCCGGAUUUACUGGGUGUAAAGGGCGUGUAGGCGGUUUCUCAAGUCCGGUGCUAAAGACCGAAGCUCAACUUCGGGAGUGCGCUGGAUACUGUGAAGCUAGACGGUCGGAGAGGGUAGCGGAAUUCUCGGAGUAGCGGUGAAAUGCGCAGAUACCGAGAGGAACGCCAAUAGCGAAAGCAGCUACCUGGACGAUUUGUGACGCUGAGGCGCGAAAGCGUGGGGAGCAAACCGGAUUAGAUACCCGGGUAGUCCACGCCCUAAACGAUGAGUGCUGGGUGUCUGACUUUUGUUGGGUGCCGAAGCUAACGCAAUAAGCACUCCACCUGGGAAGUACGGUCGCAAGACUGAAACUCAAAGGAAUUGACGGGGGCCCGCACAAGCGGUGGAGCAUGUGGUUUAAUUCGAAGCGACGCGAAAAACCUUACCAGGUCUUGACAUGUAGGGAAGUCUGGUGAAAGCCGGAUGUGCCCGCAAGGGAGCCCUAACACAGGUGCUGCAUGGUCGUCGUCAGCUCGUGUCGUGAGAUGUUGGGUUAAGUCCCGCAACGAGCGCAACCCCUAUCCCUAGUUGCCACCGGUUCGGCCGAGCACUCUAGUGAGACUGCCUACGAAAGUAGGAGGAAGGCGGGGAUGACGUCUGAUCCGCAUGGCCCUUACGACCUGGGCCACACACGUGCUACAAUGGCUGCUACAAAGCGCUGCGACUCAGCAAUGGGAAGCCAAUCGCAUAAAAGCAGCCUCAGUUCAGAUUGGAGUCUGCAACUCGACUCCAUGAAGCUGGAAUCGCUAGUAAUCGCAGAUCAGCUACGCUGCGGUGAAUACGUUCCCGGGCCUUGUACACACCGCCCGUCAAGCCAUGGAAGUGGAUUCUGCCCAAAAUCGCCGGGAGCUUAAGGCAGGCGCUUAAGGCAGGGUUCAUGACUGGGGCUAAGUCGUAACAAGGUAGUUGUACCGGAAGGUGCGGCUGGAUCACCUCCUUUCU
rnacentral:rRNA from 1 species